AUCUAGCUGACGAGUCUCAAAUAUUACGAAACGCGCGUCACACUGGAU
rfam:Schistosoma rodhaini strain Burundi genome assembly, scaffold: SROB_scaffold0001022